ensembl:lncRNA
AGACACAGACACAGACACAGACAGAAAGCCUGAGAGAAGGUGGACGGACCCAGCAGCCGCAGCCCAGCUCCUCCCGGACCGGGCACCCUGCCGACGGCCCUGACUUCCCGGGCCACCCCAGAAAGAAAAAGUUCCUCUGGAGAUUAGUGACCUGAAGGAUAACUAAGUUUUUGAGGAACGCAACAUAUGGUGUGUGCGCGGGAGGUGGUGCUUCUGGAGGAGCCGUGCGGUCACCCCCUGUCCUGGGCAGGUGGUCUCCGGAGCAGCUCAAGUCCUGGGCAGAAUUUAUGACUUAAGAGACUUACUUCAAACUCCUUGGAGUACCUCCCUGCUAAAUACCUGCUUAAGUCUGGAGGUUCAAAUGAAGUUCUCCCCCCGCCAUCGUUUGUCACCUCCCUCCUUCUCUCUCUAGCAGAAUUGCCCAUCUCCUUCCUCCCCACUGCCCUCACUGCUGUCUUGGUUGCACCGGUCAGGAAAAUACAGUUUUAUCUCCUCGGCUCAGCAGAGUGGACAGGUGUUUGUACACGGCUGAACCCUCCAGCACUACUGAAAGAGUUGCUGUCCUGCAUGCAAAAGGAGAAAAAACCUUAACAAAACCCCCUCAACCUCCGUCCCUACCGCCCCCGCCCCCCAAGCCCCAAGAAGCCCCAGAGAUGCUUUUCUCCUGAAAAAGUUAAGCGUGACUUAGUAAACAUUUGUAAAUGCAAAUAGAACUGAAUAAAUAAACAUCAAACCAGGUAGUUUGGGUGUAAUAGUUUAGCAGGACUAAUUGCAGACAAUGAAACUGAAAUGACUUCUCCAAUUACCUGCCGGUUGGAGCUUAUUUGGAGGAACUGUCAGCUCUAGCGACGGAUAAUAGCUUUAUUGCUCACAAAACUAUCAUCUAUUUAGAACAUAUGUGCUAAUUACUCUGGAUGGGCGUCGGAAAAGAGACCAUAAAUCUAUUAGCUCUUUAAAAAGUCUAAGAUACUCCCUUUAGCCCUUUAAAAAGUCUAAGAACAACCAAACUCUCUUCCUUUGGACCUUAAGGGCAAGAUUUUCGCCUGGAUGGUACUCUUUCCAUAAAAUAGAAAUAAAAUAAAAUAAAAUAAAAUAAAAUAAAAUAAAAUAAAAUAAAAUAAAAUAAAAUAAAAUAAAAUAAAAUAAAAUAAAAUAAAAUAAAAUAAAAUAAAAUAAAAUAAAAUAAAAUAAAAUAAAAUAAAAUAAAAUAAAAUAAAAUAAAAUAAAUUCAGUCAUAUAUACAUGUAUAUUUGCGACUUCACAGUGGGAGGGAAAAUAAAGGAUAGCAUCUUUCUGUAGACCAAACUGGUGCAAUAAAUCACUGUCAUAAAACCGAUUUUCCUCUUUAGCCUUGCACUAUUUUUUCCCCCAAAAAGAUUAGUUUAAAAAUCAUUUAAUUGGAUUACUCUGGAAAAUUAAUCUCCUUUGGGCUCGCUAAGUUUGUGUACCAAAUAUCCCGAAUUAAUUCAGUGCCACAAAACGCAUCUGCGACGCCUUUUGUUCAAAGUAGCUAAAAAAGGGACAGGUAGGGAAGGUAGCAUUUCGCCGUACGCAUUCACGUCCCCUCGCAGUUCUCUAUGCAUAUUCAUUGCUGUAUGUGUCGCAUUGUACCGCAUAGAAUUGCUAUUGUAAAGGACAUAAACAGAAUUGUUUGCUGGACUGUGCUGUGGGUCAAGACACCAGUGAGGGGUGAGGAAUUCAGGGGAAAAAGCAGAGAAAGGAAAAAGCUUUGGCAGCCCAAGCAGGCGUCGCGCACCGAGGGUCAUACCCAGGUCGAAGCGGCUUUCCGUCGCCAUCCGCCCCUGGCCGCUUCGCGGGCGCGCACUCCCUCCGCGCCGCUUCGAACCACUCCGCCCUCCCGCCUCUGCUCCUCUCCGCUUCUCUAGCUGGCCCCGGACCUGCGACACUUUCGGAGCCGUCUGAGUGGAACUCCCCAUCCCGGGCACCCGCUGGGAAUCAAUAGGAUCCCUCAAUUUUCAGUCCUAUUUGAGUGUGAGCAGCACCCUCGCGAGGUGCCAUUAAUUGCGGGGGCGGUGGGGGGUUAGAGGCUUAAUGACUUGUCAGGGGGGUGGUGGUGACUCUGUAACGCAAUGUCUUCUUUCCCCCCGCCUUUUACAAGUACGGGCUGUGUCGCUGCUAACAGAGCAAUAAAAUUGGCUUCAUC